CGAUGCCUACAGAUGAUGAAAUAGAAAAAAUGGUUAUGUUAAUAUUUUUGGUAAACAAAAGUGUCAUAUAAGACUAAUAAACACAUUUCAAUGCUGAUUGGUUUUGGAAUACAAAUUAUAUAAUUUUGGCUUGAAUGUCUGGUGAGUUAUGAAAAUAAUUUCUGGCUAUUUGCUAAUAAAUGAUCAAUAAAUUACGAAAACUAUUUAAUCUUUAUUAGCAAAACAAAUUUAUUCGGAAAUAUCAUUGGCGAAAAAUAAUCGAAAAAGAAAAGGAACAGAGUUAUCAAAUCCCGCUUAUCUCCCAACCGUAAAGAAAACAAAAUUUAUAUGUAUUUUUAAUUAAAAAAACGCCAAAUUUUCGUAGCCUCCUUUUGUGAUUGGCUUUAACGUUGUCUGCUUAUCGCGCACGUGUUACGUUGCCCACCUUGCCGCAACCAGGUAUCUGCAGAAAUGUAUAUCGUUUUUACACCAACUAUUCGUCUAAGCCAUGACUAAUGUUAAUGACGUGCGCCAAUUUAACUGUCCGCGUGGUAUUUUUGGAUUUUUGCUUUUUUUCUUUUUGAGGGGUUAAAGCAAAUAAAAUAAAUUACAAGUAGAAACUACCACGAAAACCAGACCACUUGGCUGCCACACAUUGGUGGGGUUCCAGGGGGUCUUGGCCUUUGCACACCUCUGGUCUAGAGCAGGCGAACAAUAAGCGACAAUUGGGCCGCAUUUAAAGUGGAUUUCAGUCGUUAGUCGCGCCCGCCAUUAGGCUGCUGUCGGCCUCUUGUUUGGGAUUGUUUUGGUCUGGUUUGGGUGGGUGUAUACUUAUACUUGUGUACAUAUAUAUACUAUUCUCGAUUUGACAAAGCUGCAAAUGAGAGUGCCAAAUGGGGGAUAGCACAAUGCUCCCUCCAAUUGAACCCAGCUGAACUGGCGUUUAAUUUGAGGUAACUGUGACGGUGGCUUAAGGUCGCCAAUCAGCUUCUAAUUAAAGAAAGUGAGACAAUCUUUCAAUGAAAGCAAUAAGUUAAAGAAACAUAUAUGCUCAUACUUAUUGUUCAAAAUAUUAUGUGAUUGUGAAAUUCUAAAAACUAAGAAAAUAUUUUCUAUAUUUCAUUUAUAUUUUGUUUUUAGAAUCCGUUUAUAUUAAGUAAACUCUUUAUAGGCCACAUUGUUUUAAAUUUGUAGUUAACCAAGGUUUAACAAAGCAAAAAUUACAUAUUGAACGCAACCUAUAAAAAUAAAAAAUACUUUAAAUCAACCUUUUUAAGGCCUUAAAUUUUCUAUUCCCACACAACAUACUUUUGAAUACGCUCACCAAUUAAGUCACCUUUUGCCAUUGGCCAAACGACUUUAAGUAUCGCCUAGGACUCGAUCCCGACCGACCCCGAUCAUGUCUUGUAAGCUGACACCAUAAAAUGUUUACAAAACAAUAAAAUAACAAAAACGAAUACGAAAAUCAAAGCCCAAAAACGAAAUGUGUAAUACGGUAGUUCCCGGCCACUCACUCGCCUCCAAAACUAUCCAACAACUUAACAAAGUUGGUCAAAAGAGAAAAAAUGCCUCCCACUCCUCUGCCACGGAGGUCUAAUCGAGGUACUCUAUAUACAUUUUUCUUUUUUUGGGGUCUCCGGCUGUCUGGUUUGCAAUUACGCUGGCUAAUUUUAUUUAUCUGGCUUGGAUUUUUUCCUUGCAUUUUAUGAUAUUCUCUGUGGUUGGUGCUGUUGUUGGCGGUGGUGCUGUGGUGGGUCGUUUAAAUGCGCCAUUAACAUUGAUUUAUGUGAAAAGUCGCACGUUUGUAUUCAAAUAACUGGGGGAGAGAGACUGAGUGAGAGACUUGCAACCGUUGCUGCAACAGUAGCUGCAAUUGCAAUCGCAAGUUGCAGUUGCAGUUGCAGUUGAAGUUGCAGUUUGCAGCUGCUGUCAGGCUUUCAUCAGGCUAAGUCAGUCGACACGUUUUCCACAUAAAUUUCAAUGGGUCCGAAAAGUUAAGUGACAGAAAUAGGUUCAGGUUUAGUAGGUAGGUAGCACCUUCUAAGCAACGACCCGUUUUUCGAUCGGGGGCUCACACGAUCACCAAAUUGCGAUCUACUUUUGUCACAUUACGGCCACCGCUAAACUGUGCGACGUGUGGGGACUCCGAUGGAUCCGCUGGAAAAGGGGUUUUUAAAAAAAAUACCGUUGGCUACUCGUAAUACCCGACCACGUAGUCCACAAAACUGACUCCACUGGCACUGGCAGACAUUCGGAUAUUCAGCCAUUCAAACAUAAAUUAUCAAUGCCAGCCUGGUUGCUGUUUUGCUUGUUUGAAAAAUAAAUAAAAAAUUUACGAAAACUACAGGCGAAAAAAAUGGACAAAAUUCGUGACUAAAUGAGUCACAAUUGUCUUCUAAAUUGUGCGAACUGUUUUCCAUUUUCGGUGUCCCCAAAAAAAUUGAUCAAACAUAAGAAAAUUGUUUUGCUUGGUUUAUAUGGAUGCCAGUAUACUCUCAGUAAACAGUUUUAAUAAUUGUUUGGCAGUUCAUACGAGUAGUUGUGGGAAAACAGUUGCUGCUCAUAAGGUCAAUCAUGCACUACGAUUAAGAUUGUUGGUUCAGCUUUGGAAAUAAAACAUUGGAAACUAAACUGGCAGUAAGUUAUGUAAGCUAAAAAAACAAUAAGACUACAGGAUCAGAAGAAGAUGAGCUGUGAUAUGUUUCGCCAAAAUUAAGAACGGAAUAUGCUAAUUGUAUUGCUCUGUGAAUUAAUGUGUUAUAUUUUUAAGUUGUGGCUACCUGCUUCUUAGUAAUUUCUUGGCUUUGAGACUGAGAAGCCAACUUUAAAGCCCUAACCCAACCCAACUUCUGGUUUAAGGGUAUUUCAAAUGAAAACCAAGCCACCAAGCCAUGCUGAAUAUUUAUGCAUCGCGCAUGUCGCUGCUGACACACAAAUGGGAGAUUUUCAAAUGAAAUGGGGCACACUGCGGGGAGCGAGGGGGCUUUUGGGGCUGCGCGUGCAGAAUUUUGAGUGAGCCGCUGGAAUGGUGGGCGUGGCAACGCCCCCAGGCGCUGGCUAAUGAAGCAAAGUGCGCCGUGCAAAUGUGGACCGACUCAGACAGAAAUAAAACCACGGCCCAACUGAUUGAUCGCUCCGAGUGAGUAACUCAGCCACAAAUACGAAUGCUAAUGACAAAUCAAAAGGUUGUGACUGUUGAGAAUCGCGUAUGUGUUCGGCUUCAAGGUAAUUUACCUUGUUCCCAAAAAACUUUUAAUUGAAUACCAUUACAAAUCUAAUAGAUUUAUCAACCUAUCAACCUAUGUUGGAGCACUUCUAAGCAAACUACAUUUUCGAAAAGGUUUUUUUAUAUAGAACCUGUAAUAGUUAUAAUAUUUUGAGCUUAAGAUUAUUAUUAAAGCAGUAAUAUAUUGUAUUAUAUUCAAUAUUAUGGUUAUGUAAAUAUGUGUGAUGUGUUUUGAAACCCAAAGAGAUAUGCAAAACGAAAUGCGAAACUCAAUAAAUUCCAGUAAAACUCAAAAACUGAUUUAUAAAGGAAUCACACACAGAAAACACUCGAUAUGAAGUCAUGCAAACACAAUUAUGUAUGAGAGACACAGGUAAGAAAACUAUAGGCGAUCGGGGGAUCUUAGAUCAUACUUAUCCGCAGUAAAUGCAGUCUUAUACUUACUGGUUCUGCCAGAUUCGACGAGGUUCGCUAUUGCGCAAGCGUGCAAGAUACGAAUAGAGAAUGCAUUCGGUUAGUUGGUGAAUUAAAUAGUUAUAGAAAAAGAGAAGGGGUGAAGAAGAACGAAAUGACUCAAUUAGCAGCGGGGAAGAUGCCGCAGAUGAGAGGCUGAUGCAUUUUGACAUUUAGCCACAUUUAAGAUGACAUUCAAGCCGCUCGAGAUGAGGCCGAGCCCCAGCUUACCCACAGAUGAAGCGGCAGCCAAAUGAAUUUAAAUAGCAUGAGACCGAGUUGUUUUCGAUUUAAUUUGAUAAGAAGUCCGUAGUCGUCGCAUACUUAUGACUGUGAAAUGUCAAAUCAAAAGUCACGUUUUUCACUCACCGCCAUGCUAGCUGAUUUAUUGGCAGCAGUCGGGGCUAUUAACUGAAUCGUACCGCUGGCCAUAAAUCGGCUGCCGGCUGAGCUCCACUUGCAGAGUUGUGGAAAAUUUCACUUUUGCUGCCGCAGCGGCUAAUAAGCCAAAAACCGAUUGACAAAUAAACAAUUUGUGGCAUCCCCUCCACAUAUCACAUACAUCUAUCUGCACAUCCAUACAUAUGUAUACGAGUAUAUACCGUGUUUAGUUAGUGAGCCGCACGCACACGUGGAUCAUAUCCAAGUCCAAGUCAAAGUCAAACCAAGUCAAGUCCCAAACCCGCUUCGACUGCGAGUUGGAGUGGAAAGUUGUUUGCAGCUUCAAUCUCUUGAAUCUCGUCGAAUCUCUUGGGCUUUUAACUCAAUUUCAGCCUGCUUUAGCUGCUUUAGCUGCCUAGCUUUGUUUGUUUAUUUAUUUUUGUUUAUUUAUACAUGUGUAUUUUCAAUCUUGCCAUUGCAGUUGUUGUUUCGCUUCGAGUUUCUAAGUUGCGGCUUAAUAGGCAAGCCACAACAACCAACAUCCUCAACCACAACAACAACAACCGACUAAAUCAUCAUUAGCCACAUCCAUCCAGUUGGCAAAGAGAUGGCAACAGGUUUUUCAAACAUCCCCUCCAUGCUACAAACAGUUUUAGCUGAAGUUAUCGAAUAGUAUUUUCAAUUUGAUUUCCCAUUCAAUGAAGCCAUUAAAUACAAACAUUAAAACACGCGCACACUACAAAUAAUUCAUUAUUAGAAGUAACAUGAUUAAUGUUCUUUGAUUAAAAAAUACAAAAAAAGGCCGUAAAGAAAUAAUUUGUUUUUGUUUUUGCAGCUGUUGAACAUCAUCUCAUGCUGCCUUUUAAAAAUUGCGAAAUCUUUAAUUAGCAUUUUGGAAUUUUCAAUCAUUUCUGUAGAACUCUAACACGAUGCUAAUUAAGCGAAUUCCAUGAAAAUAAUACGUAAACGAAAAUAAAAUAUUCACAAAAACCACUGGAUAAUCCCCGAAGUUAAACUUAAAAAAAUAAAAAUUUCCCAAUAAAACGAUUCCACAGAAAGCGAAACCAAUGCGGCAUUUUUGGAAUUUCUUUGGCGUAAUACUUAUGUAUGGGACAUGAAAAUUACAGGCCAUCAAUUCUUAUAAUUGAACCAUCAAAUUGUAAAGUGGAUGAAGUCCAGCGAAGUCUGGGCUUUUGUCAUACAGUUCAUACCUUCAGUAAAGUGGGCCAACAAUCGAGAAAAGCAAGAUUGAGUGAGACAAUUGGAAUUACUUGACUGGCCAUCAAUGAAUGAAAACAAUUUUUACCAGAAACAGUCUUUUUUCCGGUUAUAAAUCGUAUCAAUCAAUCGAUGGGGAGGUUCCGGAGGAGCAUAAUUAAUGUGUGAGAACAACUUUCUUCGCUGACCAUGAAUCGAAGCGCCUCAGUGAUUCGGAGUCCGCCACAGACUGCGUCUGAAAUAAAAAUGAAAGUGGUCCUCGAUUUGUUGGCCAAAGGGCCGUCGCCGAUCUUAGGCCCGAUUAAGUCAAUGACGGCUAAUCUCUUCUCAUUCAUAACAUAUAUAUACGUAUGUACACAUAUGCCUUUACACACCAUGCAUGAAAGCGUCUCCGACAUGAAAUAUGAUUAAUAAGUUUCGCACGAUUAUUAAGUCCCCCAGACCCUGAUCAAAAAGCAAGAGGCAACGAGCUGGGAGAAGAAAGUGGUUUGCGAUCAGCCGAGACACAGGUUGAUUGACUUCAAGAGGGUUGGGACAAGGGUUAAUGCCAUCAGCACAUUUAUACACAUUUCUGUGGGUAAGCUUUACUAGUAUCGGCGUAGUUUAAAAAUAAACAAGAUGGGAAAAUAUGCAAUUUAUACAGUUUACUGUGUAAAAAUCUCUUUAGAAUAUAAAGUUUAUAUACAUACAACAUAAUUGAAUAGGAAACCAUUAACCAUAAUAAACCAUCAGCAAAAUAGGAAUAUUAUUUAUAUUAUUAUAUUUAUCAUAUUUAUUAUUAUAGUUAUAAAUAUGAAAAAUAUUAUUUAUUUUUAUUAUUAUGAAUACCGAACUUCUAAAGCAACUUUGACAACUUAUUCAAGGGUAUGGAAAAUCGAAAGUACGAAAGAAAUCGAAAGCGAAACUGCGCAACACAAACGAAACUUGCACAGAAACCGAGAGGCCGAACAUCAAGUGCAACAAACCGAUGAACCGUCGAGCUGAGAAGGGGCAGAUCCUCGGCGGAAGGGGGUCCCAGUGGCGUGGAGUGCAGAGGGGUGCAGAGGGGUCCGAGUGGCAAGUGCAUGGCACGGCAUGGCAUGAAAAUAUGGUGUGCUAUGGCACUGGGUAGCAAGUGUGACUGACCAGCAGCUGAGAGGCAACUGCAGUGGAAAUGAAAGCGAAUGUCGUCGCUUUAGCGGUUGUGUGUCGACGGUUUAGUGCACCGCAGAAAAUAAAUCGAAAUUUUGUAAAAAAGCAUUGCAAUUUCAGUCAUAUUAACUGUGUGAGGAAGAUAAAUUUACCCUAUCUGUUCUGUGUAUGCAAUUAGAUUCGAUAACAACAGGAAUGAAAACUAUGUAUACAAAUAUGCGUUUCAAUUUGGAUUUUGUAAUUUUUCUCAGUGCAAUCGCUCGAUCAUCGCCUGCGGUGCGCGGUCGCGCUUCAAGCUCCAUUUACGAAAAAAAGCGGAUCGAAGCGAGGGCCAAAGAGAUACAGCCGUCGCACAGGGGACACUGAGGAGAGGGAAGGCAGACAGUAUGUCUGUUUGUCCGCGAACCGAUCCGAUCCGAUCCGGAACCGCUGGCAGCGAUCGAAUCCGAUUCGAGGCGAGUCAACGUAUCCCCAACAUCCGACCAGUUCUGCAUUGCAUGCCAAGAAUUUCGACUGCACCGCCUGCAUCAACUGCAUCGCGCAGCUAGAGUGGGAAAGUUUGGGGCCCAGCAACAACAUUGUUGCAGUCCCAUCGGCGGCAUCAGAGUUAUUAACAUAACAUAAUAUUGACUUGGAUGGGCGUUCGUGUGCAUUGUUUUCACUUUCGUUGCCCGCUCUGUGGGAAGUGCAUGUGUGCAUCAUGCUGAGCGCGAAUGGCAUCGCAUUGGAUGAGAUCACCUGCAUGGGUGACAUCGUUUAGGACCGAUAAUUAGUCUCCAUUAUGAGUGGAGAAAUUGACUAAAAAACUUAAUAAAGAAAAAUAUAUAGGGAUAGGAUUGCUUAUAAGUUUUCUCUUCUUUUUAUUCUUCUUCACAUAUAAUUAGCUCUAUUAGCUAUCUAUAUUAUCUGAUUGCCAGGAACCCAGCUCUUUCCCUUUUGAAAAACAAACAUAACAUAUAUUUAUGACAAUCAAUCCCCCUUCAGGUCUUUUUGUAAUGGAUCUAAUUGCGCUUUCCGUCGAUUUACGCAUUAUGGCAACCACAAUUAAGGAAUAACCGCAAAUUCACAUUACAAACCCAUAAGGCAACAAUAAAAGUCAAGAUUACAAUUGCUCAAAAGGAAACCUCGACCCGACCAGACCAAACUAAUUAAAACGCCAGGGGUAAACCGUAAAAGCCAAGUCAAACAAGUCAUAAUGAAGUAAAUAAAAUAAAUGCUAUAAAAAUCUAGUCAUUCAUGCGGUGGCCACACACUAAGGCGGAAAACGCAAUCCUUUUACUUUUCUGAUGCACCGUUGUCUAGGAAAUUACAAUAGAAAAACUGUCAGAAAUUGAUUUCCAAAUAGGAAAACAACGCACGGGGCAGCCACGAGAAAACAAAAAAUUACAAAACAAUAGUUUAAAGGCAACAUUUCACUUUCAAUGGACCGCGUUGAGAUGGCUGAGGAGGUUGAGGAGGUGAAGAAGGGCUAGGUGAAGGCUUUUAUUGGUAGCUUCAUCAUCUUUCGCAUCUG